rnacentral:rRNA from 1 species
UACAGAGGUCUCAAGCGUUGUUCGGAUUCAUUGGGCGUAAAGGGUGCGUAGGCGGCGCGGUAAGUCGGGUGUGAAAUCUCGGAGCUUAACUCCGAAACUGCAUUCGAUACUGCCGUGCUUGAGGACUGGAGAAGGAGACUGGAAUUCAUGGUGUAGCAGUGAAAUGCGUAGAGAUCAUGAGGAAGACCAGUGGCGAAGGCGGGUCUCUGGACAGUUCCUGACACUGAGACACGAAGGCCAGGGGAGCAAACGGG